rnacentral:rRNA from 1 species
AGUGAACGCUGGCGGUAGGCCUAACACAUGCAAGUCGAACGGCAGCACAGUAAGAGCUUGCUCUUACGGGUGGCGAGUGGCGGACGAGUGAGGAAUACAUCGGAAUCUACUUUUUCGUGGGGGAUAACGUAGGGAAACUUACGCUAAUACCGCAUACGACCUACGGGUGAAAGCAGGGGAUCUUCGGACCUUGCGCGAUUGAAUGAGCCGAUGUCGGAUUAGCUAGUUGGCGGGGUAAAGGCCCACCAAGGCGACGAUCCGUAGCUGGUCUGAGAGGAUGAUCAGCCACACUGGAACUGAGACACGGUCCAGACUCCUACGGGAGGCAGCAGUGGGGAAUAUUGGACAAUGGGCGCAAGCCUGAUCCGGCCAUACCGCGUGGGUGAAGAAGGCCUUCGGGUUGUAAAGCCCUUUUGUUGGGAAAGAAAAGCAGCAGGUUAAUACCCCGCUGUUCUGACGGUACCCAAAGAAUAAGCACCGGCUAACUUCGUA